rnacentral:tRNA from 1 species
CAUUAGAUGGCUGAAAGUAAGCAAUGGAAUUUUAAACCAUUAUAUAGUAGUUUACACCUACUUCUAAUG